rnacentral:lncRNA from 1 species
CUCCAUGGUCCCCUCCAGCUGUGAGGUGGGGGCAGGUGUCGGCUCCAUGGACCCCUCCAGCUGUGAGGUGGGGGCAGGUGUCGCUCCAUGGACCCCUCCAGCUGAUGAGCGACCCCCGCUGCCCAGCGACCCUCUGCUGCUGCCCUGGUUCCCCUACCCUGUCACUGACUCAAGGUCUUGGUUUCUAUAAUUAAUCCCUCUCUCUUGCAUAUAAUUUCUUCCCUUUUCAGUAUCUAUUAUUUCCCAUGUAAAAUACUAACACCCUCCACUGACCUCACAUUCCCUCCAGUUAUCCUCCCUGUAUAACGAAGCCCUCGGCAGGGCACGGCCUCACCUCCCACCUCAGCAGGGCACGGCCUCACCUCCCACCUCAGCAGGGCACGGCCUCACCUCCCAUCUCAGCAGGGCACGGCCUCACCUCCCAUCUCAGCAGGGCACGGCCUCACCUCCCAUCUCUGCAGGGCACGGCCUCACCUCCCAUCUCAGCAGGGCACGGCCUCGCCUCCCAUCUCUGCAGGGCACGGCCUCACCUCCUACCUUAGCAGGGCACGGCCUCACCUCCCACCUCAGCAGGGCACGGCCUCACCUCCCAUCUCUGCUGAGUCCACUUCAUUCAGGCUUCCGUCCCCAGCUCCCUCUGAAACCACACCUGUCCAGGUCACCAGCGAGGUCAGUGUUGCCGAACCCGGUGGCCCCCUCUUCCUGGCCUUCCCAGGGGCAGCUUCCCUGACUGACCACUCCCUCCUUCUUGAACCUUUUUUUUCACUUGGACUUGAGGACCCCGUACUCUUUCCCAUCCUUGCCCUCCCCUCAGUUCCACCUCAGGCUCCUCUGCUGAACCCUCGUCUUCCUCCAGGCCUCUAGUUCUGCAAUGCCCCAGCUCCCAGUCCUGAGCCCCUUCUCUCUUCCCACGUUCUCCCGGGUUGGUCUCCUCUAGUCUGUGGUUUGGGGCACCAUCUACACAGAUGCUUCCCUGAUUUUCCGUCAUCAGCGCCUCCUUCCCGAGCUCUAGCCUCAUAUCUUCAAUGGCUGAUUUAAUUUUUGACUUCUAUGUCCAGGUUUACCAUUUACAAAGCACAACUCUUGAUUAUUCACCAGCAAACACACUUUCCCCUGCGUUUUCUCCUCCUAGCAAAUGAUCUCACCACUGACCUGUCUGCCUGGGCCGACACCUGGGACCACCCCUGAGUCCUCAGCAUCCCCGCAGGAAACAAGCCAGUGAGAAGGACGAUUUACAUGAAAAGGCCUGACUGGAAGGGCUACUCUCAGAGAUGGGGGCAGAGAUAAGCAACAAAGGACAGAUGUUAAGGACCCAGAGACCAGCGACAGCAGGAAGUCCCCACCACCCUAGGCCAGAAGGGACCAGAGAGAAACAGAAUAUUCGGAGGCCAGGGAAGGUGGGUCUCUUCCUGGUGGGAACUGUGGUCAGGCAGUGACCA